AAGGAUCAUUAUCGAGUUUUGACUGGGUUGUAGCUGGCCUUCCGAGGCACGUGCACGCCCUGCUCAUCCACUCUACACCUGUGCACUUACUGUGGGUUUACCGGUCGCGAAACGGGCUCGUUUAUUCGGGCUUGUGGAGCGCACUUGUUGCCUGCGUUUAUCACAAACUCCAUAAAGUAUUAGAAUGUGUAUUGCGAUGUAACGCAUCUAUAUACAACUUUCAGCAACGGAUCUCUUGGCUCUCGCAUCGAUGAAGAACGCAGCGAAAUGCGAUAAGUAAUGUGAAUUGCAGAAUUCAGUGAAUCAUCGAAUCUUUGAACGCACCUUGCGCUCCUUGGUAUUCCGAGGAGCAUGCCUGUUUGAGUGUCAUGAAAUCUUCAACUUACAAGCUCUUUGCGGGGUUUGUAGGCUUGGACUUGGAGGCUUGUCGGCCUUUAACGGUCGGCUCCUCUUAAAUGCAUUAGCUUGAUUUCCUUGCGGAUCGGCUGUCGGUGUGAUAAUGUCUACUCCGCGACCGUGAAGCGUUUGGCAAGCUUCUAACCGUCUCGUUACAGAGACAGCUUUAUGACCUCUGACCUCAAAUCAGGUAGGACUACCCGCUGAACUUAA
rnacentral:rRNA from 1 species